GAACAAUUUUGGCAGCUCAUCGACAAAAAUUGCAAAGAACCAGAGAAGAUUAGCACGACCCCUGCACAAGGAUGACUCAGAUUUGUGAAGGGGUCCAUAUUAGG